rnacentral:rRNA from 1 species
AUGAACGCUGGCGGCGUGCUUAACACAUGCAAGUCGAACGGGAUCCAAGGGGUGCUUGCACUUUUUGGUGAGAGUGGCGAACGGGUGAGUAACACGUGAGUAACCUGUCCUUUUCUUUGGGAUAAGCAUUCGAAAGGGUGUUUAAUACCUUAUGUUCUGUCUGCCUCGCAUGGGGUGGGUGGGAAAGGCUUUGGCCGGAUUUGGGUGGGCUCGCGGUCUAUCAGCUUGUUGGUGGGGUGAUGGCUUACCAAGGCUUUGACGGGUAGCCGGCCUGAGAGGGUGGCCGGUCACAUUGGGACUGAGAUACGGCCCAGACUCCUGCGGGAGGCAGCAGUGGGGGAUAUUGCACAAUGGGCGAAAGCCUGAUGCAGCGACGCCGCGUGGGGGAUGAAGGCCUUCGGGUUGUAAACUUCUUUUGCUCUGAACAAGGCAUGCCAGUGGGUGUGUUGAGUGUAGGGGUUGAUUAGCGCCGGCUAACUACGUG